UUCCAUAUAGUAGGAAGUGGCUGCAUCAGUAAUACAGCAUGUAUUAACAGCCCAUAGGAAUUGUCAUGCCUAUUGUGUCACUAAUCCAUAGAUUAUGUGCCUUUUAUAGAGCCUAUUACAUAACAGAUCAUGAUGGGUCAUCAUGUCAAGAAUGGAAGGAUUAAAAGAAGAGGUAUUUUUCACAUUCAGAUUCUGAUUCCUAAGAAGACAGUGUGCUGUAUGUCAGAAGUAUGGCAGCAAGCAGAACCACAUGAGGAGCAAAUUGCCACAACCACUACACAUCUCAGCCUGUGCAGAAGCAGCUACAUGUAUCUCACAUGUCAGGACAGGGAGGUAUAA
rnacentral:lncRNA from 1 species